UACGAAGGGGGCUAGCGUUGCUCGGAAUUACUGGGCGUAAAGCGCACGUAGGCGGGUCAUUAAGUCGGGGGUGAAAUCCUGGAGCUCAACUCCAGAACUGCCUCCGAAACUGAUGAUCUUGAGUUCGGGAGAGGUGAGUGGAACUGCGAGUGUAGAGGUGAAAUUCGUAGAUAUUCGCAAGAACACCAGUGGCGAAGGCCGCUCACUGGCCCGAUACUGACGCUGAGGUGCGAAAGCGUGGGGAGCAAACAGG
rnacentral:rRNA from 1 species